rnacentral:lncRNA from 1 species
CCCUGUUAGAACUCCAGGCUGUGAAGCAGCCUCUGCAGGAGAAUUCCUGCUGGAAUCCACAUCAGGACUAAAGGAAAAAUGCAACCAUUGGUCCGAACAAUGGAAGAUUCCCUUUUCUGUCUUCUAGAGAGAUUCCAGACAGCUCAAAUUCCAGAAGAAGCAGGGAAAUCAGAGGAAAGAAGGAAAGAACUUUAUCCUGCUGAACAUGGAUUCACAACUACUCGAAUAAAAGAAAGGACACCAGAGCUGACAACAGCGGACGCUAAAGCUGCAACAGUGUGAUUUAUCAUGGGGCCUAGUUAUCAGAAGAGACAAAGCCAGCAUCGAUGGAGAGCGGUCACAGAAGACCCACCGUUGCCUCAGAGGCAGCAGGAGGCUGACGUCACAUAAACGGCCACAGAAAAGCAGUUAAAUGAUUUUCUGUGUGUUCUUCAGGGAGGCUGUAUCUAAUCUGAUGCAGUUGCUCCACGGGAGCCCUGCUAAUGACAUCUCCACCAAAUAUCAGCUCAAUAAAUUGCUUCCCUUCAUUAAUCUGAGUGUCAGUGUCUGCAUUAAUGGUGUUUACCCAGCAGAAGGGCUAAGGGAGAUAAUAUAGACCGAUUUUUAGUGACAUAUGAGGGCAGAGUGGACAGAGUGGCUACAGUGGUCCUCUUGGUUCUGGUGGAUCAAAGACUCUUUCUUUACUUCCUUUCACUCUACAAUUGUUCUCUGAGUGGCCACUACCUGCCUGGUUUUGUGUUACAGCUCAUAUUCCAACCAACACAAGGCUUCUAGGCAACCGAAGUGGGACACAAGUUAUCAUCCACAUGCAUAACUGAUCGUGAUAAAAUGUCUGAAGGAAAUGAUGCAGCUCUCUGGAAGAAUAUAAUGAGGGAUCAAAUUUGGGUGAAGAUGAACCAUUUUUUUUUCCCAGAAAAUUGAGACUUUUGGCGUCAAAGUCUUCACCUAAAAUAGGAUGACUUAGAAGUCACAGGAGGCAAGGCAGAGAGGAGGGGGAGCAGGAUGCAGAGCGCACGGGGUGGGGGUGCAUUUUAAAGCAAGCAAACCUACAGGGCCUUUGCACCAGCUGCUGGGCCACUUUCUCUACUGCUCCUUGCUUCAACUUUGCAAGUUGAGUGGAGCUCAAACUCACAGUGGAGUGCAAGUGAAGCACACAGUGGUGAGUAUUAAGAGAGAGCCAACAGUUUAACUCCAGUGUGGCAGAUGUGCCCAGAAGGGAAGGGGAACAGUGUUGCAAGGAAAGCCUACCCAAAGGAUGCAGAGCAGUGGGUACCAGAGCUUGAGGGCCAGGAAAGAGCAUCCUGGAGCCCCAGUGCUUGCUGCUUAAGAAGAGUGGUAUAAUUUGUUUACUUGUCACCGUAACUCCCUGUAUAGCCCAGACUGGCCCCAAGCUUGCUAGAUUCCUGACUCCAUUCCACCGCACCUGGUCCGUUAAUCUGUUCUUGAUGCUUCAGGUAUUAAAGCCAUUUCAUAUGGAGACUUGCGUCACUGACUUUUUACAUGUAAACAUGCUCUGGACGGCAAAAGCCACGUCGACAGUGCAAUCCAUUUUGUUCAGUGCACUAUGUAGAAGCCUAGCAACACCCCUCACACAAGACCUACAGUG